AUGUCCAUGUCACCAACAAACAAGCUAUCAUACAAAUACUUUAAUAGGUUGUAUCUAAGCUAUCCAAUAGAUGAUGAAAAAAUAAAUGUGAUUACUCUUUAUUUUGCUUUGAAGCUUGUGCAAAGGUUGUUGGUUAUUCUACAUACAGCUUUGCUCUUUCUCCAUAUUUACUACAUGACAUAUUAUCACUAUGUCCUAAAUGACAAGUUUACCAACACUUAUCUUAUAGCUGUUGGAAAUGCCCUAACCACCGCGUGGAAGCUCCACAACUACUUCCAUGGCCGGCAGGCAGCUUCACGCUUUCUCUUGGGCACUCCAACUCCCUUCCAUUACCUGGAUGGAGGAUCCAUACCCCCGUGCGUGCUUAUAUAG
rnacentral:rRNA from 1 species